rnacentral:rRNA from 1 species
AUUGAACGCUGGCGGCGUGCUUAACACAUGCAAGUCGAUCGGUAACGCGGGGGCAACCCUGGCGACGAGAGGCGGACGGGUGAGGAACGCUUGGGAAUCUGCCUAUCAGCGGGGGACAACACGGGGAAACUCGUGCUAAUACCGCAUACGCUCUACGGAGGAAAGCCGGGGACCGCAAGGCCUGGCACUGAUAGAUGAGCCCAAGCCGGAUUAGCUAGUUGGCGGGGUAACGGCCAACCAAGGCGACGAUCCGUAGCUGGUCUGAGAGGACGAUCAGCCACACUGGGACUGAGACACGGCCCAGACUCCUACGGGAGGCAGCAGUGGGGAAUAUUGGACAAUGGGGGAAACCCUGAUCCAGCGACGCCGCGUGGGUGAAGAAGGCCUGCGGGUUGUAAAGCCCUUUCGGUAGGGACGAAAGCUCUCGACCUAACACGUCGGGAGGUUGACUUAACCUACAAAAGAAGCACCGGCUAACUCUGAGCCAGCCGCCGCCGUAACAC